rnacentral:rRNA from 1 species
GACGUAGGGCGCGAGCGUUGUCCGGAUUUAUUGGGCGUAAAGAGCUCGUAGGCGGCUCGUUGCGUCGGCUGUGAAAACCCGCAGCUCAACUGUGGGCUUGCAGCCGAUACGGGCGGGCUGGAGUUCGGUAGGGGAGACUGGAAUUCCCGGUGUAGCGGUGAAAUGCGCAGAUAUCGGGAGGAACGCCAAUGGCGAAGGCAGCUCGCUGGGACGGUACUGACGCUGAGGCGCGAAAGCGUGGGGAGCAAACAGG